UCUCCUGACCUCGUGAUCCACCCACCUCGGCCUCCCAAAGUGCUGGGAUUACGGGCGUGAGCCACCGCGCCCGGCUUUCCUGUCAGCUUCUUACAAGUUUCUCUUUCCUCUAAUUCAAAUACUUCUUUACCUUGACUUUUUUUUUUUUGAGACGGAGUCUCGCUCUGUCGCCCAGGCUGGAGUGCAGUGGACCGAUCACGCCUCACCGCAGCCUCAACCUCCGAGGCUCAAGCCAUCCUCCCACCUCAGCCUCUGUAGGACUACAGGCGCUAGCCACCACACCAGCCUCUUUUUUCUCUUUUCCCUUUCUUUCUGUGUUUUUGUUUGUUUGUUUGUUUAAAUAGAGACAGAUUCUCCCUGUGUUGCUUGGGCUAGUCUCGAACGCCGGGACCCAAGCAAUCCUCCCACCUCAGCCUUCCAGAGUGCUGGAAUUACAGGUGUGAGCCACUGUACUCAGCCUAAAAAAGUGAGUUUUCAACUCAUAAUUUUUUUUUUCUCUAUAUUCUGCCAGUACAUUUCAUUUUCACAACUUCUACAGCUGAAGAUUUUCCUUUGAAAAAAUAAUCUUCCCAGCCCGUGCAGCACGACGUCCCAUCCAGCAUGGUCAACAUGGUGAUGCUGUGGGACAAUCAAAAGAUGGGAGAGACCGAACAGAGUGAGUUGAGGAAAUGUCUUUAUUAAAACGUGAUGACCUGGGUCAGUAGGACUAGCGUCCAGGAAAGUCCGGGACAAAGAAAGCAGCCACCUUUUAAGCAGUCAGUGGCUGGGAGCAACGUGAUGCAGGAAGCGGACUUACAGAAGCGAGAACAAAGAGAGUUGAUCAGUCUUUUACUUUUAUCUAUGUUACAUGUUCCACAUCCCUGAGAAAUCAACCUUGUAUCAACCUUGUAACUUUGCAGCUGCCCUAGGGAGGUGAAGCAGGAACUCGCUGAGCCUCAAGGAAUGUGAAACUAGCAAGUACAGAUAAGGCUCGCUGAGCACGGAAGGAAAAACAAGCAGUUAGUAUUCUUCUCCAACUUAGAGUGGCCGCGGGGAGUGGCGGGGAAGGUGGCUACACUACACUUAGCUUUUGAAGGAAAAAGUAAAAAAUUUUGGUUGUCUUUGAUUAUACUUGUAAAAUUCAUGAGUUCCUUCUACAAUGAAAUCCCGCGUCUCCUAAAAAUACAAAAAUUAACAGCGUGGUGGCACACCCCUGUAAUCCCAGUUACUGGGAAGGCUGAGGCAGACCUGCUUGAACCUGGGAGGUGGAGGUUGCAGUGAGUGGAGAUAGUGCUACUGCACUCCAGCUUGGGCGACAGAGCGAGACCCUGUCUCAAAAAAAAAAAAAAAAAGAAAAAGAAAGAAAAUCUACCCAUACUCUGCACAGCCUAUAGUCAUCACUGCAAGAAGCUAGCAAACCUCAGAAAAUGAUGCAGCCCUGGCGUCUCUAGAGAAGUUGCAGCACUAAUGGGCAAUGUAAGUAAAAAUCUAUUUUCAAAUGCAUUCCCGGCACUUUCCUGGCAUGUGCUGGGAAAAGCCUAGCAGGCUACAGAAGGGUCUAGGAGGGUUACAAAGGUCCAGAAGCAAGAGAGAGCACAGGGGCUAGUUGAAAUGGAAGAGGGAGCUGCAGGUUGCAGGGCUUGUUGAUGGGGGUGACCUCUAAGCUGAGAUCCAAAGGAGGAGCGGCAGCCAGCCAGGAAGUGACAUGAUGGGAAAGAAGAGGGUGGGGUCAGGGGUGUGUUGCCGUGAGAGGAGCAGGGACAGUAUCUACAAACGUGUUAUGGAAAGAGAAAAAAAUCCUACUGAAGGAAAGGGAGUAUGGAAAUAAGGAUGAAAUCUUUAUUCUGAACCAAAUAAUCCACUGAAUUCUAUCCAUGGACCCCUUGGAAAUGCAUGGAACCCAGCAGAAACCCUUCCUAGCAGCAGGGUGGAGAAUGCAUUGGAGAGCAAGGCUAAGGAAGGUUGACUCAAUGUCCUGAGCCCAAGGAGGUAUCAACAUUCCCAACGGAUUUGGAUCUUUAACAGGAAGGAGCCACUGGAGCCAGCAGAGAAUGGGGCCACUGCUUUCCAUACUCAGUGCCCAAACCUUGCUGAAGCACCUGCCAGGUGCUGGGUUGUGGAGCAUGGUGCAACGCAGACAGCCUUGUGGAGGAGAGAAUCUGUAAACCAUGGCUUCAAAAGAUUGAUAAAUACUGAUUAUUAAUCUAUAGCACAGUAUAGGAUUGAUAAAUACUGAUUAUUAAUCUACAGCACAGAUUAGGAGGGUGAUUAAGCCAGCGUCCAGUAGAUUUGGGUUACACUCUCCUUUCUACAAUUUAGAAGCUGAUAACCUCGGGCAAGCUAAUCUUUCAGUCUCCUCAUCUGUAAAAUGGAGUGAUAAAAAUAUCUGUCAUGAUCAAGGGUUAUAGUGAUGUGCCUGUAGAUAAUAAAUACCGGAUAAAUAAA